rnacentral:rRNA from 1 species
AGAGUUUGAUCAUGGCUCAGAAUGAACGUUGGCGGCGUGGAUUAGGCAUGCAAGUCGAGCGCGAACCCGCAAGGGGGAGAGCGGCAAACGGGGUAGUAACGGGUAGGCGACGUACCCUUCGGUCGGGGAUAGCCACGGGAAACUGUGGGUAAUACCCGAUAAACUCUUAAGGCGUGAUAGCUUUGAGAGCAAAGGUGAGAUUCCACCGGAGGAGCGGCCUGCUUCGUAUUAGCUGGUUGGUGAGGUAACGGCUCACCAAGGCGACGAUGCGUAGGGGGUGUGAGAGCAUGACCCCCACCACUGGGACUGAGAAACUGCCCAGACACCUACGGGUGGCUGCAGUCGAGAAUCUUCGGCAAUGGGCGCAAGCCUGACCGAGCGACGCCGCGUGUGGGAUGAAGGCCCUUGGGUUGUAAACCACUGUCAGAGGGGAUGAAGUGCAUGAGGGUCAUCUCUCAUGUUUGACAUAGCCUCAGAGGAAGCACGGGCUAAGUUCGUGCCAGCAGCCGCGGUAAUACGAACUGUGCAAACGUUAUUCGGAAUCACUGGGCUUACAGGGUGCGUAGGCGGCUUGUUAAGUAGGGUGUGAAAGCCCCCGGCUCAACCGGGGAAUUGCGCCUUAAACUGGCGAGCUGGAGUGAGAUAGGGGUGUGUGGAACUUCCGGUGGAGCGGUGAAAUGUGUUGAUAUCGGAAGGAACGCCGGUGGCGAAAGCGACACACUGGAUCUUGUCUGACGCUGAGGCACGAAAGCCAGGGGAGCGAACGGGAUUAGAUACCCCAGUAGUCC